rnacentral:rRNA from 1 species
GACGAACGCUGGCGGCGUGCUUAACACAUGCAAGUCGAACGGAAAGGCCCUGCUUUUGUGGGGUGCUCGAGUGGCGAACGGGUGAGUAACACGUGAGUAACCUGCCCUUGACUUUGGGAUAACUUCAGGAAACUGGGGCUAAUACCUGAUAGGAGCUCCUGCUGCAUGGUGGGGGUUGGAAAGUUUCGGCGGUUGGGGAUGGACUCGCGGCUUAUCAGCUUGUUGGUGGGGUAGUGGCUUACCAAGGCUUUGACGGGUAGCCGGCCUGAGAGGGUGAACGGGGAAAAUGGGACUGAGAAACGGAGCAGAGGGGAAAGGGAGGAAGGAGGGGGGAAGAUAGCAGAAUGGGAGGAAGGGAGAAGAAGAAAAGGAGGGGGGGGGAUGAAGGGGUUCGGGGUGAAAAAAGAUUUAGAAUGUGAAGAAGAGUGAGUGACGGUAAUGGGUAAAGAAGCACCGGCUAACUACGUG